GAGAUGGAUCCAGGAGCGAGAAUUAUUACCACAGCAAGAAGAGAAAACUAGAAUGUUGCUUGUGGAUGUUCCCCAUUUCCUUCCCGAAUCUCUAAGCCUCUGGACACAUGCAUCCAGAAUCCGUAAGAAGCUGAGGAUUUUUCUUCAAGCAAAGUCUUCCGAUGGGGGCAGCAGGAAAUCUGACUUCCAUUCCCACCCCAGCAGCUCCCAUCACUGAGAUGAGCAGGAAGUCACCAACAUGAUGCUUCUGGUAAGAUGGAGGACCUCUGGCCUUUGCAUCUGACUUGGGCUGCUCCCUAUGGACUAUCAGACCUUUUCUGCCCCUGCUCUCUAAGGAGAAAGAAGCCUUAACAGUUUCUCUAUCAUGACUAAAUGUCAGCAUUUAGUAAGUGCCUAUUGAUGGCUUGACUCAUUUAUCAACCUACAAUUCUCUUAUAUGUCCUAAAGUCUGGUCAAGCUUCAGUUUUGGGGGGAAUGUCUUGUCUUUCCACAAUUAGUCAUCUCAACUGCUAGCUGGUUGUGGAAUUUCCAUGGGUAGAAAUCUGUGUGUGGUUCUGGAGGUGACUCUGAAGAGUUAAAUCAGCCAAGUGGGUCCAGUUCUGAGCACCUAAUUACUGGGAAACCACAAGCAGCUUGGAGCAAGUUCAAAGGAAAGCCAGAGUAAUAUCGUCAAGAGUUACUGAGUCCCAUUUAAAAAGAAGGAUGCAAAGAAGGAAAUCUGUGUCCCCUGGCCAAGUGGCUGAAUGAAGGAAGGACAAUAACCAUCUGUACAAAGGAUGCAGUCACCAAAGAGAGAAGGGAGAGGCUUUCAGGAACCUUACAGGAGACAACGGGGUGUAGGUGAAAGAGAACUGAACUCUGCUUCAGGAUUCAAGUCUAAUUUUGGUAUUUAGUGACCAAAUUAUUGGUAAUAUGGCAAUACCAUAAUUAUUACAUUAUUAUGAUAAUGUCUCUUGUACCGCCACAUCCUUCACGAGGUUAUUAUGAGAAAAGUGCUAUAUAUACUUUAAACUGGAAGAAAAACAAGAAUCAUGAUUUGUGAAUUUAUGAUUAUAUUUUAUUGAUUUUUUUCCCUUUCCCUUUUCAUUUUGAGGGACCUAGAAGUCUGAAAGCCAGAACUGGAGGGAAGAGGAAUAAGGAAUGAGACAAGGACACUCUGCAGUUAAAUCUAGGGCAUUGUCUUGGGAAAUGAGUGUCCAAAUGAUGAGAUUUAAAUUGUACAUAUCAGAUAUAAACUCUUGGAUUUCUUUUAUAGAUGCUAGAGAAAGGGAAAAUAUUUAAAAUAACCAUAUGAUUAUGUCAAAGUUAUACAAAAUAUUUCUUAAAUUCUUAAUAAAAAGGAAUUAUAAUUAGUCACUUAA